UACCAGCACCCCGAGUGGUCGGGACGAUUAUUGGGCCUAAAGCAUCCGUAGCCGGUUCUACAAGUCUUCCGUUAAAUCCACCUGCUUAACAGAUGGGCUGCGGAGGAUACUAUAGAGCUAGGAGGCGGGAGAGGCAAGCGGUGACGUUAAGUGGGUAGGGGUAAAAUCCGUUGAUCCAUUGAAGACCACCAGUGGCGAAGGCGGCUUGCCAGAACGCACUCG
rnacentral:rRNA from 1 species